rfam:Gossypium hirsutum cultivar TM-1 chromosome 9, whole genome shotgun sequence
AGUUAAAAAUUUUAUCCAUUUCUACUAUUAAAAAUAGAUGUGGUUGACAAAAUAAUCAGACAGUUACCUAUGGCAUGUUAUAUGUACCUUAUACUAAUGUACAAAGACUAAUUUUUAACAAUAAAAAUAGAUAAAUUUUUAACA